CCCCUAGAUGUUCUGGGCCGCACGCGCGCUACACUGAACAGUUCAACAAGUCUUAACCUUGGCCGAUAGGUCUGGGUAAUCUUUGAACGCUGUUCGUGAUUGGGAUAGACCUUUGCAAUUAUUGAUCUUGAACGAGGAAUGCCUAGUAAUCGUAGGUCAUCAGCCUGCGAUGAUUACGUCCCUGCCCUUUGUACACACCGCCCGUCGCUCCUACCGAUUUCGAGUGGUUCGGUGAACCUUUCGGACCGGCAAUGCCUCGUGUUGCGCCGGAAAGUCAAGUAAACCAUAUCACUUAGAGGAAGGAGAAGUCGUAACA
rnacentral:rRNA from 1 species